rnacentral:lncRNA from 1 species
GAAGCCUUCUGGUAAGCAGUGGGCAGCCUUGAUCAUAGCUGUAGUGCAGAGGUGAUUCCUUAGGCAUUUUUUAUGGCUAUGAUGUAAUUGCUGAAGUUCCAAGAAUCAUAUUUCAGUGUAGGGCAGAAAAGGAGGAGGAAAAGCAGAGCCAGCUGUUUCUGUCUCUUUCAUCCUGAAGCCAAAAGAUUUCUUGGAAUUCCUCUAGCUGACUUUCCCUUUGCCUCAUUGACUAGAACUUGAUUACGUGGACAUAGCCAACUGCAGGCCAGGCUUGGUCACUGCAACAUACUCCAAGGUGGAGUAAAGCAGACUGUAGGAACAAGAAAGGAGGGGCAGAGGAAAGUGGCAUUGCAAACAAAAAGACUGAGCCACCACAGCCACGGCAUAAUCAGGCUGGAGGAGCUGGUUCCAUGCUGAGCAACUACAAAUCAUGACAGUACGGGCAUCUUGGAGGAAGAGUACAUUUAGGGAACAAGAUCUUGUUCAGUUAAAUGUGCUGAUGAGAAAUCCAGGUGAUUUUUAGCAGGUCCUAAACCAC